AUGACUUUCCUGGCCUGCUGAGGUGAGCGAGAGGAGGUCUGGAGGAGCCGGAGGAGUCUCUGUCUGUGUCUGUUUACAGGCCGUGAGCGUGAUCAGUUUACAGUGGGCCACUCGCAGACGCCAGCACAGUGGCAGCGGCCGCGCUCUAAUGAGAGCUGACAGACGUGACAGAAAGAAAAUGUCACAGCAGAGCUGUGAAAAUAAACCGCUGCACAUGAGAAACCUAAGCUCUGAGCACCUGCUUUCUGACUCAGGUACAUUUAAUCACCUUUAAUCCCAUUAUGUUCCUGACCAAAGACUGAAACCUGGGGAUC
rnacentral:lncRNA from 1 species